rnacentral:tRNA from 1 species
GCCUGGAUGGCGGAACUGGCAGACGCAAGGGACUUAAAAUCCCUCGGUCAGAAAUGGCUGUGCCGGUUCGAUCCCGGCUCCAGGCA